rnacentral:rRNA from 1 species
UACGUAGGGGGCAAGCGUUGUCCGGAUUUAUUGGGCGUAAAGAGCGUGUAGGCGGCUUUGCAAGUCCGUUGUGAAAACUCGAGGCUCAACCCUCGAAUGCCGGUGGAUACUGUCGGGCUAGAGUGCGGAAGAGGCGAGUGGAAUUCCUGGUGUAGCGGUGAAAUGCGCAGAUAUCAGGAGGAACACCAAUUGCGAAGGCAGCUCGCUGGGACGUAACUGACGCUGAGACGCGAAAGCGUGGGGAGCAAACAGG